GGAAAACCUGAAAGGGGACUAGCAGGAUGUUGUGAACCUGUCCCUUUUGAAGUGAGAAAACUGGAUUCUAUGUUUUAAAGUUUUUAUUUCUUCUCUAGUUUCUUUUUCUUUUCAGCACCUUUCCUCAGUAAUUACAGUCUACCCUCAACAUCUGAGAAGAUUGUUCCUGGUAGGACAAUUUCCCAACAUUUCUAACUGUGACUGGAAAUAUAUGUUCUUGAUAUCCUCAUCCCACACAAUCAUAUUGUCUAACUGCUAUAGUGUAGAGGACAGCUAGCUUAGAAAAAGUGAAAAUGCUCAGCCCAAGAAUUCAUGCAUUGUGUGACAUUACUGUAGCAUCCAGUGUUAGCAACUCUGGAAGUGAACCGAGCAGUCACAAAGAAACACCUUGUAGACAGCCAUACAAGUAAAUGUCUUCCAGCCUCCUUGUACCUUUCCAAUAGAGUGAGGAAAAACAAAAAAAAAAAAAAAAAAAGGAAAGAAAGAAAAGGGAAAAGGGAGGAGGAAGGCAGAGGAACGACAGAACGGCAGACAGACGGCGGCCGGCUCCAGGUAGGCGCCGUCCCCUCCCGCCGCCAUCAGGGGCAGCGCGGGGAGACCGGGGGCUACUGGGGGCUAUUGGGGGACGCUGGAGGCUACUGGGGGAUGCUGGGGGCCGGGUUUUUGGUGUUUAGUGGUGUUUAUGGGAGUGGUAAUGCUCCGGGAGCGCCUCCGGGAGAGGCUGCGAAGAAGAGGCAUCGCUGGGCUGCGUCUCGUCGGGGGGGAGCUGAGUUGAGGGGCUCCCGGGGCAGGCAGGCAAGCAGGGGUGCUCCGGCCGCAGUUCUUCGCCCUCCUCUCUCGGACUCUGCUCGGGCGGCCGAGUUAAGCAGCGCUAAGGACACGGGAAAGUAG
rnacentral:lncRNA from 1 species